GACGGGACCCGCACAAGCGGUGGAUGAUGUGGAUUAAUUCGAUGCAACGCGAAAACCUUACCUACCCUUGACAUGUCCGGAAUCCCGAAGAGAUUUGGGAGUGCUCGCAAGAGAACCGGAACACAGGUGCUGCAUGGCUGUCGUCAGCUCGUGUCGUGAGAUGUUGGGUUAAGCCCCGCAACGAGCGCAACCCUUGUCAUUAGUUGCCAUCAUUUGGUUGGGCACUCUAAUGAGACUGCCGGUGACAAACCGGAGGAAGGUGGGGAUGACGUCAAGUCCUCAUGGCCCUUAUGGGUAGGGCUUCACACGUCAUACAAUGGUCGGUACAGAGGGUUGCCAACCCGCGAGGGGGAGCUAAUCCCACAAAGCCGAUCGUAGUCCGGAUCGCAGUCUGCAACUCGACUGCGUGAAGUCGGAAUCGCUAGUAAUCGUGGAUCAGCAUGUCACGGUGAAUACGUUCCCGGGUCUU
rnacentral:rRNA from 1 species